rnacentral:lncRNA from 1 species
GGCCUAGCCCCGUCGGAUCCGCGCCUCAGCCCCCAGGCUCCCAGAGCGCCACGCUCCCACCGCUGGGCGCACGGAGGCCUCCUGUGAACGAAGUGGCCGCGGCCUGAAACAGGCAUCUUGACAGCGGCCGCCUCCGAUGCGCAGCGAUGGCACUCCCCGGCGCGCGGUCUCACUUCUGCCUCACUCUCCGCAGGGUGUAAUGACCAUGGGUAUCUGCUCUGCUCUUCUGAUGGGGCUCUGAGAUGUAAAAGCUCAGAGCCAUAAUCUGUAUUGCUUACUUCUGUGCAGCUAAUGGCCCAAAGUAAGCUCAAUCAAUAAAUUAAAGCAACAUAGCAUAGUAAGUGAUCCUGCCAAUGACACCGGGACAAAAAUGUAAGCACAUAUACCAUUUUUGCAAUUUUGCCAUUUUUUUGUUUAAAACCCUGGCAGACAAAAAUGCACAUUAUGAAAACAAUCUGAUGACAUCACGUGUGCAGUUAUGGGUGUGCUGCUCCAGGACAGUCUGCCUGCUACUGCGCCUGAUCCCCACGCGGGCCCCAAGGGCAAGUGCAUGACUGCUUCCAUCUUAUAGGCGAGAAAAUGGGGUGCCCAGGGAGAUGACAGCACCGUGUUGACCUAGAAGUCACCAGCACCCAAACCUAAAAGGAAAAUGACUGCCUGUCCCUCGGUGAUAGCGCAUGUCUGAAGGCGGUGCUAUUCUCACUGUCCUCCGCUCUUCAAACAAAGCUCAGCGGAGGACAAGCACAAACAAAACGCUCCCCACAAGGUCUCCCAGAGAGCGCGCUGUGCUCGCUACGUUUCCCACACUUCUGCACACCACAAACAUGGGUAAGAGCAGAGCGUGUCUGCACAAGGGUCACAAGAAAAUAACUCGACCACGCUUCAUCACAAGAUUGGCCCACCACCAGGGAUCUGAUUGUGUCGAUCUGCAACUAGGCUCCGUGAAUUCUGGCCUUUUGAAAUCAGGCUUUGCUGAUGAUCCACAGGCUUUUCACUGCUCACCAGGGCUGUGACCUAACUCGACCUAGCAAGAGGGCCACAGGUACGGAUGGAUGCAUCCACUUCCGAGGGCGCCUUCCAGAGCGAUCUUUCCAAACCUGGGAGACCACACCUCACACCUCUGCCUAUACCCACCACGACCUGGAAGAGAGAAUCCAAACUCCUCUAGGCCUGAAGACAGGGCCUGCCCGACUUGCUACACUGGCUAUGCUAUGCUCACGCCCGCACCACACCUUCCCUCUUCUCAAAGGGCCCCACAAAUCUCCGCAUGGCUGCUCCAUCUCAAACGUCACCAACGUGGACUCCCAGGUCAGAGCAGCCCAGAACCCACUCUUAACGACCCAGCCCAC